rnacentral:rRNA from 1 species
GAUGAACGCUAGCUACAGGCUUAACACAUGCAAGUCGAGGGGCAUCAGGAAGAAAGCUUGCUUUCUUUGCUGGCGAUCGGCGCACGGGUGAGUAACACGUAUCCAACCUGCCCUUUACUCGGGGAUAGCCUUUCGAAAGAAAGAUUAAUACCCGAUAGCAUAAUGAUUCCGCAUGGUUUCAUUAUUAAAGGAUUCCGGUAAAGGAUGGGGAUGCGUUCCAUUAGGUUGUUGGUGAGGUAACGGCUCACCAAGCCUUCGAUGGAUAGGGGUUCUGAGAGGAAGGUCCCCCACAUUGGAACUGAGACACGGUCCAAACUCCUACGGGAGGCAGCAGUGAGGAAUAUUGGUCAAUGGGCGGUAGCCUGAACCAGCCAAGUAGCGUGAAGGAUGAAGGCUCUAUGGGUCGUAAACUUCUUUUAUAUAAGAAUAAAGUGCAGUAUGUAUACUGUUUUGUAUGUAUUAUAUGAAUAAGGAUCGGCUAACUCCGUGCCAGCAGCCGCGGUAAUACGGAGGAUCCGAGCGUUAUCCGGAUUUAUUGGGUUUAAAGGGAGCGUAGGUGGACUGGUAAGUCAGUUGUGAAAGUUUGCGGCUCAACCGUAAAAUUGCAGUUGAUACUGUCAGUCUUGAGUACAGUAGAGGUGGGCGGAAUUCGUGGUGUAGCGGUGAAAUGCUUAGAUAUCACGAAGAACUCCGAUUGCGAGGACAGCUCACUGGACUGCAACUGACACUGAUGCUCGAAAGUGUGGGUAUCAAACAGG